CAGUCAUAUCACGUUCAAACACCGGUUCUUGUACGAUUACUGAAGUUAAGCAACACUGAGCCUGGUCAGUACCUAGACGGGUGAUCGCUUGGGAAUAUCAGGUGCUGGA